rnacentral:lncRNA from 1 species
ACUAUGGGCUAUCUAUGGGGCAGCUAUGGGGCAGCCAUGGGGCAGCUGUGGGGUAUCUAUGGGGCAGCCAUGGGGCCGCUAUGGGGCAGCCAUGGGGCAGCCAUGGGGCAGCUAUGGGGUAUCCAUGCGGCAGCUAUGGGGCAGCCAUGGGGCAGCUAUGGGGCAGCCAUGGGGCAGCCAUGGGGCAGCCAUGGGGCGGCUAUGGGGCAGCCAUGGGGCAGCCAUGGGGCAGCCAUGGGGCAGCCAUGGGGUAUCUAUGGGGCGGCUAUGGGGCAGCCAUGGAGCAUCUAUGGGGCGGCUAUGGGGCGGCUAUGGGGCGGCUAUGGGGCAGCUAUGGGGCAGCCAUGGGGCAGCCAUGGGGCAGCCAUGGGGCAGCCAUGGGAUCUCUAUGGGAUCUCUAUGGGGCAGCCAUGGGGCAGCCAUGGGAUCUCUAUGGGGCAGCCAUGGGGCAGCUAUGGGGCGGCUAUGGGGCGGCUAUGGGGCCGCCAUGGGGUCACUAUGGGGCAGCCAUGGGGCAGCCAUGGGGCGGCUAUGGGGCAGCUAUGGGGUCCCUAUGGGGCAGCCAUGGGGCGGCUAUGGAGCAUCUAUGGGGCAGCUAUGGGGCAGCCAUGGGGCAACCCACCCUGAUGGGGCGCGGCAGACGCGGGCGCUUGCGGCGCAGCAGCAGCAGCCCCAGCACGGUGACACCGUACCACACGUGGUUGACGAUGCCCACGUAAUUAAUGAGCGUGUAGAUGUCGCCCGUCACCAGCAUCAGCAGCGUCGUCACGCACUGCGGGAACGCGGCCACGUCGCACACACAAACCACACACAAACCCCAUAAAACCCCACAGAAACCCCACAAAAACCCCAUAAAAUCCCAUGAAACCCCAUAAAAACCUGGAAAACCCCAUAAAACUCCACAAAACCCCAUAAAAUCCCAUGAAACCCCACAAAAUCCCAUAAAAUCCCAUGAAACCCCACAAAAUCCCAUAAAAUCCCAUGAAACCCCACAAAAUCCCACAAAAUCCCACAAAAUCCCAUAAAUCCCCAUAGAGCCCCACAAAACCCCAUAUAACCCCAUAAAACCCCACAAAAACCCAUAAAACCCUGGGAAACCCCAUA